UGGUUUUCACUCAUUUAUUGACUUCUGU
rnacentral:piRNA from 1 species